rnacentral:rRNA from 1 species
ACUACGGGUGGCUGCAGUGGGGAAUAUUGGGCAAUGGGCGCAAGCCUGACCCAGCAACGCCGCGUGAAGGAAGAAGGCUUUCGGGUUGUAAACUUCUUUUCUCAGGGACGAAGAAAGUGACGGUACCUGAGGAAUAAGCCACGGCUAACUACGUGCCAGCAGCCGCGGUAAUACGUAGGUGGCAAGCGUUAUCCGGAUUUACUGGGUGUAAAGGGCGUGUAGGCGGGGAAGCAAGUCAGAUGUGAAAACCACGGGCUCAACCUGUGGCCUGCAUUUGAAACUGUUUUUCUUGAGUACUGGAGAGGCAGACGGAAUUCCUAGUGUAGCGGUGAAAUGCGUAGAUAUUAGGAGGAACACCAGUGGCGAAGGCGGUCUGCUGGACAGCAACUGACGCUGAGGCGCGAAAGCGUGGGGAGCAAACAGGAUUAGAUACCCGGGUAGUC